rnacentral:misc_RNA from 1 species
GCAAACUUGGUCAUUUAGAGGAAGUAAAAGUCGUAACAAGGUUUCCGUAGGUGAACCUGCGGAAGGAUCAUUAUUGAUUGGAUGUGCUGGCAAAUAAUCCUAUUUUUUGCAUUGUGCACUCCUGAAAUCUUCAUCCGCCUGUGCACUGCACAUAGGCAAAAUCAAUGAGUUAAUUUCGUUGAUCUUUGUCUGUGUGUUUUGAUUCACAUUGCCAGCUUUAUGGAAUGGAUGUUCUUGGCUUAUCCAAAGUCAAAAAUUUUAAUACAACUUUCAACAAUGGAUUUCUUGGUUCUCGCAUCGAUGAAGAACGCAGC